rnacentral:rRNA from 1 species
UACGGAGGGUGCAAGCGUUGCUCGGAAUUAUUGGGCGUAAAGGGUGGGUAGGUGGUCUCGUUUGUCUUAGGUGAAAUCCCCGAGCUUAACUUGGGAAGUGCCUCAGAAACGGCGAGACUUGAGUACUGAAGAGGGUCGUGGAAUUCCCGGUGUAGCGGUGAAAUGCGUAGAGAUCGGGAGGAACACCAGAAGCGAAAGCGGCGACCUGGUCAGUGACUGACACUAAACCACGAAAGCGUGGGGAGCAAACAGG